rnacentral:rRNA from 1 species
GACGUAGGGCGCGAGCGUUGUCCGGAUUUAUUGGGCGUAAAGAGCUCGUAGGCGGCUUGUCGCGUCGUCCGUGAAAACCUGGGGCUCAACCCCAGGCUUGCGGUCGAUACGGGCAGGCUCGAGUUCGGUAGGGGAGACUGGAAUUCCUGGUGUAGCGGUGAAAUGCGCAGAUAUCUGGAGGAACACCGGUGGCGAAGGCGACAUCCUGGACCGGUAUUGACGCUGAGGCGCGAAAGCCAGGGGAGCAAACGGG